AGCAUUGUGCAGUGGCAGUAUCAUAGCCAAUGAGGUUUAUCUGAGGCAUGAUUACUGCUAAUUGAAAACUUUUCCCAAUACCCUGCCAUGACAACUUGGAAUAUAGUCAACAUUGGCAAUUUUUGAAAGUCUUUAUGGAAUUUAAAAAGA
ensembl:snRNA U4 U4 spliceosomal RNA